GCAGCAGGGUUGACGUACGCGGCGCCCUUUGGGCUUAAGCCUUUUGCUGCGCUGCGUUAUUAUUAACUGCCUGUUGCCAGAUUAAAUCGACGGACUCCAAGAAUACAAUGACUGAUUUAUUGCCAUUGCGUUCAUUUCACCCCGUCUACA
rnacentral:snoRNA from 1 species